rnacentral:rRNA from 1 species
CGGAGGGUGCAAGUCGUUGUCCGGAUUUAUGGGUUUAAAGGGUGCGUAGGCGGCCCAUUAAGUCCGUGGUGAAAGCCAACAGCUCAACUGUUGAACUGCCAUGGAUACUGAUGGGCUUGAGUGCAGACGAGGUAGGCGGAAUGGAUGCUGUAGCGGUGAAAUGCAUAGAUAGCAUCCAGAACACCGAUUGCGUAGGCAGCUUACUAGGCUGUAACUGACGCUGAGGCGACGAAAGCGUGGGGAGCGAACAGGAUUAGAUACCCUGGUAGUCCACGCUGUAAACGAUGAUUACUCGAUGUCGGCGAUAAACAGUCGGCGUCUUAGCGAAAGCGUUUAAGUAAUCCACCCUGGGGAGGUACGCCCGCAAGGGUG